CCCAUCCCAUGCAUAUGCAUUAUGUCGUAUGAGAUGCAAACUAGAACUUGUUUCCAUUAUAAUCACAUUUCAGAGGCAUGAUCUAUACACCUUCAUUAUCAUUCAUUUCCAUAUAGUGAUGACACUUGUAACACCCCAAACACAACCUAAACAUUAUGGCUAGAUCUAGAGAAGUCACCAUGAUCAAUUAUGAAAAUUCAUAAAUAAAUUGAGGCUUGUAGAAAAUGCUAGUUUUUGAUAAAUACAAUCCCUAGUUUAUUUUAAAGAAAACCCAUCUCUUUUAAUUAUUUUGUAAAUUUUGUUGAUUAAUUUUAUGUUUAUAAAACACUUAUGUUUGCAAUGAAACUCUUAGUAAAAUUUAGCUUUGAGAAACGCGGUUUGUUUUCAAAAAUUCAACAUUUUGCUAAUAGAGUAAUUAUAAUUUAAAAUGAUUAAACGAUUCAAAAAAACAGAAAACCAAAAGUCCAAAACAAAAAUAAUCCCAAGAGUCCAAAAUAGUCCAACAGUAUCAAAAUAGAGUAAACAAAGUUUAAAGUAACACAAAUUAAAUGUGUUUAUCUGAGCUCCCGUCGCACCGACCCGUCCUAUGUCUAAGGAUUACCUGAGAAUCAAGCAAACAGAGAAUGAGCUUACAAGCAGUAUGUAACUUACUAUAAUUAAAAUAGUAGAUAAAAUUCAGAACAUGCAUUCAGAUACCAAUUAGACGAAUUUCAUAGACAGAAAUAGAAACAGAUGCAUAUCAGAUACAGAUACAGAUUAAUUUCCUACCCCCAUCUGCUACACACCAGCUCUGACCAUCCCUGCACACCAAUUAGGGUAUUAAAUACCCAAUUAGCCCUACACACCAAUUAGUGUCUGUAUGACACUUUUCAGAAUAUUUGUAGCCUAGCUACCAGAUCAAUAGGCGAUAUACUGCCAAAUAUGGAUAUACGUAGCUGAGCCACAAAAUUAGGCAGAUAAAUUAAACUAUCAGCAAUUCCUCCAUAAACAUAUUUCUCACCCCAAUGCAUAUGCAAAACUAGACAAUAUCACAUAUGUGCACGACAUGCAUGUUUUUCACAUCUGAUUAGAUCAUACCUAGCAUAUAACAGAACAUGCUAUCACAUAUAACAUACCACUCAUCCGUUUGCUAGUCAUAUUAAGCAAUAACAGAGUAUCAAAAAUCAUGGUUUAUAGGCAAUUUUAUACCAUAUGGGCCCUAUAGAAAGGUUAUAUUCGAUUCGCACGACAACCAGAACCCUAGGGAAAAUUUUCAGAAUUUAGGCCCACACGCCCGUGUGGCAUCGACAGUCUCAAUUUUGGCUUUCAGUCGUUCGCUAAUUUCUUGAGUUUUCGUUACACACUUCAUCUGAUUUUGAUUCGAUUGCAACCAUGAGAUUUCCAGAACCUAAAAAUAAUAAUUAAACCACCAAUUAAGACGAUUCCCACACCCAAUUCACAAAAAUUGAUAUAUCAAACAUCAAAUUUUAAACGAAGAAUUUCAACCUAAAACCCCAAUUUGACUCCUUAUCUUCAAGAAACAGCAGAACACCAAUGAUUCUAGGUUUCUGAAGAAUUAAUUGCCUUUCCAACUUCACCUAGAAAGUCAAACAAUUAAUCAUACAGAACAUAUUUAACCCACAACUAACAAAAAGAACAAUAAGAACAAACUCACUUAAUACAAGAGAAAACUUAAUGGCAGAUACACAAGUAAUUGAUUACGCUUAAUGGCAAUUGAUUUGCAGAAAGAAAAGGAAAAGAACAAAGUGUAGAACCGCACAAGAAAAAAAAGAAAAGAAACUAGCAAUUGGGAAAAAAUAAAAGUGGGAACUGAGGGAGAGGAAAGUGGAGAAUAAACAGAGGACACCUUACCACUAAACCAGCAGGCUCAUUUUAUCACAAGUUUAGUGGAAAUAGUAUUUAAGUCAAAUAAAAAGAGGUAGGGAUAGGACCUCAAACACACAUCCAAUGCAUUUAACCAUUGAACCAAAUCAAUUACUUAGACAAAAUUUAACAAAUCAAAACUUAGAUUUUGGGGGCAUUACAACACUUAUCAAGCAUUCCAUUUCAUAAUCAAUUCAAUGAAAUUCUAACAUGCCUCAUUUUCAUAAUAAUUUCUUAUGCAAUUUAACAUGUUACAAGAGGAAUUUUUCAAUACAUGUAUAACAAGCUCUCAACAGUACAUUCCAUGGCAUUUCACUUAAGCAUACAAUUCAACCAUUCAAUAGUUUUACUUUUGUAAUAUUAAUACAUGUUAUGCAUUCAACCAACAAUCAUUUUAUUUUCAAAUCAUCCAUGUUAUUUCAUACUGAUACCACUCGUAUAAAUAGUCAUUCAACCAUGCUAAUCUUGCACGAAUUCCAUUUAAUUAGGGCUUGAAAUGUACCUGAUUUAACCACCUUAAAAUUGUUUCCUUAGCCAUUUAAAAAGUCGUACCAACAAGGUUAAACAUCAAUUUAACCACUAAAAAUAUAAUUUAAACAGACAAGUUUACAGGUUAGAACACAAACCUUAAUUUCACAAAACCGCAGUACUACUUGUGAAAUCUACGCUUCCUUCACCAAACUUAAACGUACCUAAACCAAAAUCCAACUUUAAUAGAGUUAGGAUGUUGUCAAACCAGCCUUAAAACACCCUCUAAGGGUUUAGGCAAAUCAUUGUUACAAGGCCUUAAUUACAAAUCCAAAUCAGUUGAAUCAAUUACAAUGAUAUGGUGCGAAGCGAGAGCGUGGACGAAAAAUGGCUUCACUGCUGUUCUAGGAUGUUUAAAUCAAUGCCUAACACAUUAAAAUGCUAAAAAAUCAGUAGCUAAUCAUCCAUUUAAAACCUUAAAAUUAGUAGCUAAUCAAUAGUUGAUUAGGAUAGGAUAAAAUAGAUCUACCCUUGCCGGAAAAUACUCGAAAAAAUUGUGAAAAAUUAGCAGCUCUUAAUGGCAGAUCUAGGAGCAAAGCACCAGCAUAAUUGGCCACAUAGGGGCGGUUUUGCAAAACACCAAGGAGAUUUGUUUAAAAGCUGAUAAAGGAAUAUCUUUAGACUUGAAAAUUAGUAAAAAUAAAGGCUGAAAUAGUAGUGUAUUUUACUAAAUAAAUAACAUACUGUUGCUCAAUAAAAUGAAAAACUUUAGGGGUAACAACAACCACUGACGGUAGCAAUUUUUGGGAUAAUUUUGGCAAGUUCAAAAGGAAUGUUUUAGGGCUAGAAAUAAUUUUUUAAAAUUAGUAUAGAAAACAGAAAUUUUAAGAUAUGAUUUUGAAAACAAAACAAUAGGAAAAUGGUGUAGAAAAAUGAGAGAAUCAAGCACAUACUCUAGCAAGUUAAAGGGGCGAAAAUGGAGAUCUUUGUGGCAACAGUGGGAUCCAAUUUUUGAGUGGUUCAAGAGACUAAUUCAAGGUUGAAAAAAUAAUGAAAUAAAAUCGAAAGGGAGGAAGAAAAAUGACAAAAAUUAGCACCAGUGGAGAAGGGAAGGACGCCAAGGAAAAAUGAGUUUGGUGGGCGACACAAUGAAGGAGAAAAGAAGAAAAUUGAAAAAGGGAUAAAAGAGAAAAGGAAGGGGUGGCUAAGGUUGGAAAAAGGAUGACUAAAAGAUGAAAAAUAAAUGAAAAAGUGAUAUUUAUACCUAGAUUAACUAGGCAUGGGCAGCACAAAAAUAGGGGAAAGGAGGAAAAUUAGCAAAAGUAUGCUAUUUUGCAAGGGAAUAGAAUCAAACUUGAAUCCUU
rnacentral:lncRNA from 1 species